GAUGAACGCUGGCGGCGUGCCUAAUACAUGCAAGUCGAGCGAACGGACGAGAAGCUUGCUUCUCUGAUGUUAGCGGCGGACGGGUGAGUAACACGUGGAUAACCUACCUAUAAGACUGGGAUAACUUCGGGAAACCGGAGCUAAUACCGGAUGAUAUUUUGAACCGCAUGGUUCAAAAGUGAAAGACGGUCUUGCUGUCACUUAUAGAUGGAUCCGCGCUGCAUUAGCUAGUUGGUAAGGUAACGGCUUACCAAGGCAACGAUGCAUAGCCGACCUGAGAGGGUGAUCGGCCACACUGGAACUGAGACACGGUCCAGACUCCUACGGGAGGCAGCAGUAGGGAAUCUUCCGCAAUGGGCGAAAGCAUGACGGAGCAACGCCGCGUGAGUGAUGAAGGUCUUCGGAUCGUAAAACUCUGUUAUUAGGGAAGAACAUAUGUGUAAGUAAAUGUGCACAUCUUGACGGUACCUAAUCAGAAAGCCACGGCUAACUACGUG
rnacentral:rRNA from 1 species